rnacentral:misc_RNA from 1 species
AUCCAACAGUGGGUUUGGAUUGACUACUACUAGUUGAGGCUAUUCCAGUAGUAUGGGACUUGGGCUUCUGUGAGCUUUCUGGACAGCUUAAUUCUAGUUGGCUGAAAUAUCUGAUUUCUUGCAUUAUGAGGGACCCAAUGGUUCCUCGAGUGCCUAUAUCUACGGGAUUCUGUGUUGCCAUGUCUUCAGGGUUUUUGGUGGUUGUGGUGCUAGAUUUAUACAUGUUUUGUUUUUUCAGGUGAAGGAGGCUUGCAGGUGAAGAGAAGUGGUUUUGGGAUCUUGAUCUGGGUGGGGAGAUUGCUUCAAGUCUGGGGCAUAUGUUGAUUGGCCAUGUACUCGGUGUAUUUACAUGAAGUCUUGACCCCG